rnacentral:lncRNA from 1 species
GAUGUUAGAAGAGGGAAUAUUACACCUGAGGAACAGCUUCUAAUCAUGGAACUUCAUGCAAAAUGGGGAAACAGGUGAGUUGAUGAUCAUUAUUUAUUAAAAAUAUAUGGAAAAAAGUGUAAGUGGAUGUGCUUAAUUUCCCUACUAGAUUUUUUUUUUUAAGAAAUGAUAUAUUUGUUGCUUGGUAAGAUUUUUAUUCUUCAACCUUCUCUUUGUCUUCAAAAGAUGAAAGAAGUUCUUCUACUUUAGUACGGUCUUUGAGGUUGCAACAAUUCACAUGGAGUUUUGUAAAACUUUUGGCAAAAAAUAUUUCUAAUGCAAAUAGUUUCAAAUUUUUUACAGCCGUCAAAAUGUUUUGUUUAUGGUUUAAUUAUCUAUAUGGAUGACUGUUUUCCUCUAAAGGUACAUGUUACUUCUUUUUUUUUAUUCCAUUCAAGUUCUCUCUAUCUCUUCUUUGUUUUCCCUGAGUCAUAUAUAUACUUUAAAGAAGAUGUAGCAUAAUUAUCAGUUAUGUUAUGGACCUCUAUAUAUACACAUGUAGAUCUAUCAAGAAUAGAGGAAUCAUGAAGUGGAAUCAAUGUAAUAUGCCCCCUCUUUUCCUUUCAUUUUGAAAAUUUCAAUGCCCUUCUUUUGAAGAAAGAAAAAAACAUGAAUUCAUUGAGGGUAUGCGAUUUUUUAUUUUUGUUUUUUUCUUUCUAAUUCUUUUAUAAUUUUAGAACUUCUAAUAUAUUUUCUUUGUUCUGAAAGUUCGAGGUUAAUUUGUUGUGAGAGGAAUUGCCAUAGCCCAUCUGGACCUAAAAAUCACCAUAAUCCGAACGUGUUUAGCCAUAAGAGGAAUAUUAUAGCUUUGCUAUACAAUUUGAUUUUAAGACUAAAAUCAGAUUCAGGACUCAAUUCUACCUCCACCUUGUGAUAAAAAAAAGAGAUAGAUUAUAGAAGUGAAAAGUAUGAUAUGUGAUGUGAUCAUAGAAAAAGAAAAUAUAUAUAAAGAGAAAGUAUGUGGAAAUUAAAUGGAAGAAAAAGUUGGAUGUUAAAAUAUCAAAGUUGGAUUAUAAAAGUGGAACUCCAAAAUCAAGUUAUUUUUUUUAACAACAAAAUCAAGUCGGAUUACUAUUUUUUUUAACAACAAAAUUCAUCACCACUCAAACUUUUUAUAUUAUUUUUCAAGAAAAAUAAUUUCUUCACACUCAAACUUUAUCUCAACCUUAAAAAGAGAUAGGAAUAUGAGAAGCAUAAGUGAGAGAUAUAUAGUAUGAGUCAUGUGAUCAAAAAGGAGAGAGGAGUAAGAAGAAAAAGUUGGGGAAAUGAGAUGAAGAGUAAGUGAAUGUGAGUGUAUAAUUUUUUUUAUAAUUAAAUAUAGGAAGUAAAAUGUAAAUACACUUUUAAUUUAUAGAAGGUGAAAAGACUAUUAUAGAAAAAGAAACACUAUAUAAAAAGCUAGGAAAUAGUUACUUUUCUUGAACAAUAAAUGUAUGAAAUAGGAUAGGUUGUGUGCCUCAAUGAUAAUAUUAACAAUAAUAGUAAUAAUAGUAAUAUGAAGAAGCUAUUCAAUUUCCAAUAGUAAUUUAUUUUUUCAAUGUUUAUAUCUAUAAUGAUUGAGAACCAAAAAGUUUGGAAAUUAUCAACUUCUAUUUUAGGCUUUUUUUAAAAAAGAAAAUUGCUUCUAUUUUAGGCUGAGCUUAAUGGAAGUGGGGCACACUAUAAAAUAGCAUUCUAGUUCACACACAUAUGAAAGAGAAAUUUCAAGGAGUUUGGUAGAAAUAGAUUCAACAAUAUCCAAUGCUAUGCAUUUUUGGCUCUUGUUGACAAGUGCUUGUGGAACUUAAAAUUUGACUCCCAUGGAGAUGAUAGCUAGACUCAUAUAGUGCACAGAUAGUAAACUAGUUGGCUCCACACAAGUACCUUUCUCAGCCUCCAAGAAAACAAGCCCCAAUCACUAAGAAGGAAAAGACACCAAUAAAAGCUUUAAUUAAUCUACUAUAAGUUUUCAAAAUAAUUUAUAUAUAGUAUAUGAAGUUACUAUCUAGGAUAACGAAAUCUGACAUUUUCUUGAAUAGAAAGAAGAGAAGAAAAGUUUGUAGGCUAGAGUCACACAGGAAAAUUGAAGAAGGAAAUUGAUGAGGAUGAAGAUAUGUUGAAGAAAAUAUUUUUCUUGAGAUGAGUUUUCUAAUAAUAAUUGGAUAAUAGAACGAAACACAAAAACUGAUUUUGUGUGAAAAAGAGGGAAUGAAUAUAUGUGGCAAAGAGAGAGUUGGAGAUGUUUGAAUUUGAAUAAUGGUUUCUACCUGAGGCAUGAUGCAGUGAGUGAGAAACUCUGAUAUUUGGUGAUCUUGGAGCCCCAGCUUCAAAGCAAAGGCAUCAUUUCCAAUAUGUACCAAAGGACCUUCAGCAUCUUAUAACAUUAGUCUUUUUAUACGAGUGAGUCUAUAACAUGGACAAACUUUUAUCCUCAGCCAAGGAACAUGGUCACUCUAUGACACCUAUUUAAUAUAUUGGUGUUGCUACUUUUUGCUUAUCAGUAAAAUGUGACACCCCUUGACAGCUUUUAAUUAAUAUCUACUUUAUGCUCUCCCUUUUCAAGAAACUUCACACAUGUUUCUGCUUCCUCUCUCUCUCACUUACCAAGACACACAUGGGCAUACAUUUAACCUAGUCUCAUUUUACUGGUUUCCAACACACCAUGAUCAGUUUUAGGUCUGCAAUUUUAUUUCACUUGCACUAUUUCUUUGUCCAUUAGUUAACUUAGUAUAGCUAAAUCUUUCAUCACCAGAUGCUUAUGAUAAGCAUUGAUUUUAAGAUACACUUAAGCUUGUUUGACACCAUUAAUACUCAUUAACUCAAGCAACAUCAGUACUUUUUCAGUUAGAUUAAUGAUUUGUGGAUAUCCGCUCUGUUAAGAGACCACAAACAUGAGUGAAGAAGAGAAAAAUAGGGUGUCUGUUAGAAGUUUAUACUGUUUGAGUAGAGCUUAUUUGAUUCUCUCUCUAGUUUUCUGAAUUUAAAAACUAUUCUUAAAAACAAUAUUUAAAAUACAUUUUAACAACAGUUUUCAAAUAUGUUCAAUCAAGCACUUUUUUUUAAUAAAACAAUAAUCAAAUAGACUCUUACAAUUUCAGUAAUCUUUCAUUGUUUUUUACAAACUAUAUAGGUG